AGUGAACGCUGGCGGUAGGCCUAACACAUGCAAGUCGAACGGCAGCACAGGAGAGCUUGCUCUCUGGGUGGCGAGUGGCGGACGGGUGAGGAAUACAUCGGAAUCUACUCUGUCGUGGGGGAUAACGUAGGGAAACUUACGCUAAUACCGCAUACGACCUACGGGUGAAAGCAGGGGAUCUUCGGACCUUGCGCGAUUGAAUGAGCCGAUGUCGGAUUAGCUAGUUGGCGGGGUAAAGGCCCACCAAGGCGACGAUACGUAGCUGGUCUGAGAGGAUGAUCAGCCACACUGGAAGUGAGACACGGUCCAGACUCCUACGGUAGGCAGCAGUGGGGAAUAUUGAAUAAUGGGCGCAAGCCUGAUUCAGCCAUACCGCGUGGGUGAAGAAGGCCUUCGGGUUGUAAAGCCCUUUUGUUGGGAAAGAAAUCCAGCUGGCUAAUACCCGGUUGGGAUGACGGUACCCAAAGAAUAAGCACCGGCUAACUUCGUGCCAGCCGCCGCCGUAA
rnacentral:rRNA from 1 species